rnacentral:rRNA from 1 species
AUUGAACGCUAGCGGGAUGCCUUACACAUGCAAGUCGAACGAGUGGCGGACGGGUGAGUAAUGUAUCGGAACGUGCCUAAUAGAGGGGGAUAACUACUCGAAACAGUAGCUAAUACCGCAUACGAUCGGAGCGGCCGAUAUCGGAUUAGCUAGUUGGUGGGGUAAAGGCUCACCAAGGCAACGAUCCCUAGCUGGUUUGAGAGGACGACCAGACACACUGGGACUGAGACACGGCCCAGACUCCUACGGGAGGCAGCAGUGGGGAAUUUUGGACAAUGGGCGAAACCCUGAUCCAGCCAUGCCGCGUGUAUGAGAAGGCCUUCGGGUUGUAAAGUACUGUUGGCAGAGAAGCGGUAUCUGCAGAAUAAGCACCGGCUAACUACGUGCCAGCAGCCGCGGUAAUUC